rnacentral:lncRNA from 1 species
GUUGGCAGUCGUUUGAUGAUGACUCCAUUAUUAAUAUUAGACUUGUUUUCAAUGACUGCUUAGGUGAAAGAUUAGCUAGAGAGCAUGCUAAGCUUUUCUUGUAUUCUACUCAUGAGAGUCAAGUGGCAUCACUUUAUGCUUAUUUGAAUAGUCAACACUCAGCACUCGGCAGCAAACAUCUCAACCUGUUGUCACAUAAUUUCUAAUUGUAGUACAGUAAGGAUAGCUGACGUCAUUGCUUCCCUCACCAUGAUUGGUUAGUGAAAUGACUGAAAUCUAUUAGUCACCAAUUACAGACCCUUUAGUUCUUGUUUGAGGUUGAAGAAGAACAGAAUAUUGAGGAAGAGGAUUAAAAGGAGGCCGAAAUUAAGGAAUCACAUAUCUUCAAGCAUGUAGUUGCUAAGUGUGACAUUUAGGAUCUUGGGUAGGUACCAUACCCAGUUUUAUGGAUCACCUCACUGUUGGAGUAGUCAUGGUGAGGAUUUUUCUCUCUUUGUAUUGCAGGAGAGGAAAGUAACAUUAAUUCCAUACACAACCAAAUCAUAACUAAACGUUGUACUUUCUUUACAUGUCUCUGGACUCAUCUCAUACACAAAGUACCAAGUUACAGGAUCACCCGUUUAAUAUGGCUGAAUGGAAGCUUACACAUUAGUAUAAAGAUUACAAGCAUGAAUGAAUAUCAUGAUAAGAAAGCCAUUGGUAGGCUACAGGAUUGUAUGAAUGGAUAGGAUCCUCAUGUAUGCAAGUAAUGGCCUGAGCUCCGAGUGUUAUUACCUGAAUGCCAAUGAAAAUAAAACACACGGACUUAAGUCAUUUGUAACAUGUAAUUUUGAGCUCGCAAAGUACCUUUAUCUAAACACCGCAUUGUUUUAGGGAGAAAUCACUUUAACCAGAAGAGGUGAUCCGUCACACUAUGAGUCUGAUGACAAACAGAAGGCCGAGGGGAUCAUCUUCCGUUUGUGUGACAAACGCCAUUCAUCAAUGCAUCCCAGUUGUUGAGGAUCCAAGUCUGGAGGAAUUCCCUUGUUAACAAUCUCAGGAAUCCUCUCAGUCUUACCAAGAGUGUGAACUGCGUGCCUCACAGUUGCUUCCCUCUCUUCAAUUUUGCUGUUGAAACACUUCAUUGCUAUAACUCUCUGUGAAUUAGUGAGACAAGCACCAAAAAUGUCAGAGAUCAUCACCACCAGUGCUUCAAACAAUCUAUCGUCGCAUGUCUGGUUAAGCAGAAGAGUCUGACUUAUCCUAUUCAUGGAGGAAGCAGCCAAUUCCAUAACAGACCAUUUUGAAGGACUCACAUCCAUUACACACCCAAACUUAUCUCUACGCUUCCUUUUAGAUUCUUCAAAUCUGGACUUUGCAGUUUCAGCAAGAUCUUUAAGUACUUCUCUGGGAUUCUUUCCAAGCAGUGACAGGUUUUUGAGAUCCACAUCUAGCCAUGUGUGAUAGAGAUCGACUUGCAGCCACACAAUGUUUGCUGCCUUCCUGGUGUUUUUAAAGUCACUUUUAUGAUCCAAGUGAUCUUCAAUGGCAUUUAUGUACAUUAGCCCUUGGUUUAAGCCAUCUACCAACAUUUCGAUCGAGCAAGUGCUGUUACUUGAGAGUGCAAGAGCAAUACUUGUUAAUGUCACAACAGGAAGUGCCCAACAGUUUGGGGGUUCUUCAGAGUCCAAGGAGGGAACUUGGUCACUGUCAAAUUCAGCUACUCCUUUGAACCUUUGCGAGAAUGUGGAUUUCUGCAAGAGUUUGAGGAGAUAUUGGGGCUCUUCUUUCCUUCCCUUUUGAAGCCAAUAUUCAGUAGCCAUCACAAUUUGCUCUCAUCAUGAACUCAACCAAUGCCUUUUCACCUUCAAGAAACAGAACAUAACAACUAAAGUCUGGCCUCGGUUUUGUUCAUAUUGUGGCCCGGUGUUACGUUCAGUUUUCUUGAUCUUCCACUCUUUGAAAAUGUCACAGCAUAGAUAUAUUCGGCUCACAAAUAAAAUGGAAAAUGAAUCGAAUAGCCUUACUGGCCAAGACAAUCCCUUUCUGCAUUGCAAUACAAAUGUCCACAAGCAUGUUUCUUGCUUCAUGAGCAAGUUUCCUGCAGUGCCUACUUUGGAUUCUUAAGGUUAAUGGUUGCUUUUUCAACCCCAACAGCCCCUGAAUCCAGUGCUUCUCAAUCUCAAAUUCCUUUUUGACGCUUAUGCUUCCUCUUUUUGGGCACUUAAAGUUUAUGGCCAUAAACCACCUGAAUGCGGGAGCAAUAGUACCAACUCCAACUGCAACAGCUUGUGUGAAAAGUAUUAAAGUUGUAGUGAGCUUGUAGUCAGAUUCUCCACUGCAAAACUUAAACGAUGAAGUCGUUACAUAAGUUCGAAGCAUGGCUUCAGCUAAAAACAUGGUGCUGAGAAGACAAAAGCUCCAGAAGCAGUGCAUAUGACCGAGCGGCCCAUCACGAAUUGGGGACUAGAAGUAUGAGCCAUUACCCAAUGUUUAGUCAAUGCCUCUCUAAGUUUCCCAGCCUUCAUUAUUUGGUUUGCACCCUCUUUCAAAGCCAACUGAUGCCUCUUAUUGUACUUCUUUUCUAGGUAAUUCUUUGUGGUUGGAACAACUAUAGCAGAGAAAAUCAGCAUGAUGAGUAGAACAAAAAUAAUAAACAUAAUUGCAACAUGUUCUUUACAGAACACAAAGAUCGCGCCAGUAGCUAGUUGGAUGCAUAUAUUGACCACAAGGGUGAUGACUAGAAUCCCUAAAGCAAUCACAUUCAUGAACAUUUCUUCAUUCUCCAUGGCUCCAAGGGAAGGCAUGGAGUUGGACAUUGCCGUGCAGAUGAAGACUGAACUGCUGAGCUUCGCAAGCUGAUCAUGGCUGUUGGGCAUGGGAGUGUUGAGAUCAACUGAUAGUUUGAUAGCCACUCCUAGCAAGGUGAGAGUAGUAGCAUUGAUGGAGAAGAAUUUGGAAGGAAACCAGAGUUUAUGGUGUCGAAAGCCGAGUAUUACAUCUGCAGCCAUUGCAAUCAGGCAGGCAAAGGAUGCUGCUGCUACAUACAUGCCAAUCCAAGGCAUUGGUGUACUGAACUUCUCCUCAUGAAGGUUUCCGUUGCCGUCACAUCCACCCAUAGUUCUUGAUGGUUUAUUUGAAAUGUUAUUGGAUUAAGAAGUUCUUGUGAGCUUGUUUAUCACUUAUCAAUGCUUAUAACAAAUGUUGAUAUUUGUAUUGGAAUUUUCUUGUUGAUAGCAGCCUGAGCAGGUUAGCUAUUUUUGUAUUUUACUGAUGGGCAUCAAGUGGAGUAGUUUAAGCUUUGCUUCAGAAUUAAACUGUCAAUGUCUUCUCUUAUUAUCAUAAUAAGAUUUGUUAUAAAACACUCUUACGAACGGCGGUAAUAUAUCAGUUGAAAGAAUGAAUUAAAUUGGACCCUUGUCGAAAUUAUCACUUUUACAUCAAAAGUUAUGGGUUGUGGUAAAAUGUGUAGUCAUUAUAGGAAUCAUUUCAUUCAUGAUAAAACAUAAUAGUUUACUAGCUACUCUGACAACGAACUUGUUGUCGUCUUUGUUAAAUUGUCCAUAAAAUACUAAGUUAAAUAGAUAAAUAAGAGAAAUUUUACUAACACAACUCUAAUUCAUAUAUACACAUCCCAUUUUUUGUAAAAAAUUUAAUCAACAUUUUAUCCCUUUCUAAACUUAAAUAAAUAGAUAAAUAAUCUUCAGCCUCCCUCCAGUUCAACCUACAACCUAACGUCGACGUUGGGCCGGGGGUCCCUAGCAAAUGUUACGUAGUAUUUCUUCAAGGCUUUUUAGCUAAAUUGCUACCCUAUUUUUCACCUUGGUGUCAAUUUGCUACCCUAAGUUUUAUUUUAGCCAAUUUGCUACCGUACCUUUUCGUAAUUAGCCAAUUUGCUACCCUAACUAUUAUUUAUGUCAAUUUGCUACCUUAUGUUUCAAAAUUAGCCAAUUUGCCACCUUCUUGUCAUUUUAAUUUGUUCAUUUCUUCAUUUAAAUAUGAAUUAAUUCUGAAAAUCAAAGGUUAAAGUUGGUCGGUAUUGAAAUUUUGAUAAGUAAAUCGGUUAAUCUUGAAAGCCUAACGUAGCAAAUUUGAUGGAAUGGUAACAAAUUGGCUAAAAUAAAAGCUAGGGUAGCAAAUUGGCUAAUUUAAAAAAGCUAAGGUAGCAAAUUGACUGAAAUGAAAGUUUAGGUAGCAAAUUGACACUAAAAUGAAAGUUAGGGUAAUAAAUUGAUAAUUAUGCUUUUCUUCAAUGAGCAUCUAUAUCUAUCUAUCAGUGCUAUUCUUGAUCAUACGAAUUACCAAGCAGUUUGUAUCCUUAAUUUCUUAUACGAGCAAUCAAGCAUAGUAAAAGAAAGGCAAAGAAGUUUAUAAUUUCCUUGAUUACAAACCAGAAUAAUCCUUUUCCUGAAGCUCAAAGAAGCUUCUUGUGACUAGUAAGACUGCAAAGAGUGUUGGAACUUACAAAGAUGUGGGCUUCUAAUGCUUUAUAUAAUUUAAUUAGGUUUUGGAUCAGUAAUAUAUUAGGAAUUUUGCAUAUGGAGUGUGUCGAAUUGAAUUUGUCCAUUAUAGUUAUUCAAAGAAAUAAAGAUUAGACCUAGAAGAUUAUAGGGAGAGGUAUGGGAGAAUUGCAUAGCAGUGCAUGUGAGAGGGACAUAUCACUACCAGAAGAAAGACUUUAGCCGACGAAAAUAAAAAAACCAGGCCGACGAAUUAUUUCCCUUCGUCGGCUAAUUAAAAAUUUUCGUCGGCUAUGGUCAACUUUAGCCGACGAAAUUAAAAUUUCGUCGUCUGAAUAAUUUUUUUCGUCGGCUAUAGUCUGUGAACUUUAGCCGACGAAAUUUUUAAAAGUUUAGCCGACGAAAAAUAUAAUUUCGUCGGCUAAAGUGCCUUAAUUUUCGUCGGCUAAAGUGCCUUAUUUUUGCAGAUAUUGACAACAACUCAUCUGGGAAAAAAAANNNNNNNNNNNNNNNNNNNNUAUAUAUAUAUAUAUAUAUAUAUAUAUAUAUAUAUAUAUAUCCGCACAACCCUUAAAGUGCAGACGUCCCUCUGUUCUCCACCGUCCGGCGUACACAAUGGCGCUCCUCCACCCGAGCAGACACCAGAGGCAUCCCCGAUGACUUUUUCUUGCCGGCGAGUUCGCCGAAUACAAGUUUGCAGCCGAGAUCAAUCUUGUCUAAAGUUUUCGAAGGAGGUUGCUGCCCAGACCUUCAAAUCGAUCUCGCCGGCAAGAGAAAGUCAUCGGGGAUGCCUCUGGUGUCCGCUCGAGUGGAGGAGCGCAGUCGUCGGCACUGUCCGGUGGAGAACCGAGGGGCGUCUGCACUUUAACCUUGAUGUAUUUCUGACCCUAUUUAGCUAUAAUUCCUUUAACAAUAUUGAGUUUAACUUAGUUUGUGUUUUUAGGUUGCGAAUAAAGCCGAGGAGCACAAAAGAAACAUACGAGGAGAAAUCUUGAAGGAAGAGGAAUCCAUAUGGCGCAAGAAAAGAAAUCAGAAAAUCUGCCAGGAAUAGUCAGUCAACUUCGACAAAGUAUUGUGAUCAGCUCACAAUGAUCCAAGAGACGAGCCUUAUAUCAAUGGAAAGCUAGAAGAGUCUAGUUUCCAUAAAUUUUUCCGGAUUGUCAAUAGCUAUUUUGGAGAAGAAGUUAUGACCGUUUGAGUGACCGAAGGUCAGUCUGCCCGAAUUUCUGAUUUGGACCGAAACUUCAAUUUCAAGGCCUAAACCACAACGGCGAGCCCACAGACGAAAAUUGAGGGUUCUCUAACCCUAAUAGAAGCUUUUUAUAUGUUCCCUAUAUAUAGGAGGAGUUGGAGCCGUAAAAAGUGUCGCUCUUUGCCGCAGAAAAACAAUGUCUUUCUUCUCCUUCAGAAAUUCCUCUCCAAACACAAAUCCUAGUUUUAGGACUUCUCUUGCCGUGCCUUCUCAUUUGUAAUCCUCGGCGUAGUUCCUUGUUUUAAUACUCAAAGUGUAAUCUAAACUCAGACCUCAUGUUUUCUUUUACUAUCUAUUCAAUUACUUUAGUUUGUUUCCAUCUCUCUUAUUCGUUUGUGUUCAUGAGUUGGAUUUUUGAGUGAGUUUGUUCUUAUAAUCAUGAUAAUCGGAUAUGUAUGGUUGAGUUGUUGGUGUAAUUGAUGAUGCUUUUGAUGAUCUAAAUUGUGCUUAUGUGUGAUUGACAACUUAUGACUUGUUCUUAAUCAAUAUGUGUCAUUGUUUGUGUUAAGUCCGGGCCGGUAAACAUGACCUAGAAUGGUAAAGAGUCAUAGGUUGCAUGCUAGGAUGUUUUUGAAGUCCGCGUCGGUAAAUUACUUGAAACAUGGAAUUUGAUUUGUUUCUCCAUAUGCAUGAUUUAGGUUGUUAGGUUGAAAUUGCAUAGCUACUUGAUUAUAUGAAUCUGAUUUAGUGUUUUCUUAUGUGCAAAGAGACGAUCACAUGUAUAUAAUAGCUUAGGUUUUUGUUUCUUUUCAGUUUAUGAUUUUCGUCACUCUUCUGUUCCCUGUUUUCUUUUAUUUUAUUUUUGUAUCAAACAAUCUCCUAUUCCCCUGAAAAUUUGUACAGUUGUUCCUCUGUGUGUCUAAUAUAUCUCUGUAAAUUUUCGUAUUUUUCUGGGUUAGGUUUUUAAUUAGGUUUUCGACUGCUGUUCAUUAGAAACAGUAGCUAUUUUUGUAAAUUGUUUAAAGAUUUUAUUACUUGUUAAUAUUAGUUAUGUUUUACUAACGCUUUGUUUUGCAAGGUACCUUCAAUCCCCGGCCCUAUACGAUACCCUUAUUUACCUUAUGUUACUGACGAUAAAAAGGGUUUAUUUGAUGCAGGUUUUGCACCCGUCAAACCUCUGUGCGGACCUCCGCCUCUGAACGCCUCUGAUAUAUAUAUAUAUAUAUAUAUAUAUAUUCAGAACUUUUUGUGUAAAUAACGAUUAUGAAAACCCAAAUGAUCAUCAAAUUCAAUGAAAUUGGCAGGAGUGAUCUAUGCAUUAGGUUCUACAAACUGAACGGUGGGGAUGUGAAAAUAUGACCGAAAAGUAAGUCAAAUAAGGAACUUCACACUUUAAUUUCAAAGUAAAACUUCGCUCUGGAUAGGAGCUGUAUACAUAUAUAUAUAUAUAUAUACAGGAAUUCUCAGGUGCGGACGUCCGCACCAAAGUUUUGGUGCGGAUUUCCAUUUUUGCACCACUUUUCGAUCGAAUUUUCUCAUCUCCACCGUCUAGUAUCUAGAUAAUAUUGUGUAGAUCAUCUCUGCAAAAUUUCAGUUAAUUUGGUAAUCGUUAAGGCCCUCAAACUCGAAAAACAAAUCUGACGAACUGAAUUUUGUCCGGUUGUGUUCAUACCGGAAAAACUCGAGUCUGAGGGUCUUAACGAUCACCAAAUUGGCUGAAAUUUUGCAUAGAUGAUCUACACAAUAUUAUCUAGAUACUAGACGAUGGAGAUGAGGAAAUUCGAUCGGAAAAUGGUGCAAAAAAUGGAAAUCAGCACCGAAACCUUCGGUGUGGACGUCCGCAGCCAAGAAGGGCUGUAUAUAUAUAGGGAGCCUUUCCAAAGAAGACGUCCGCACAGCCCUUAAAGUGCGGACGUCUCUCCGUUCUCCACCGUCCGGCGCCGACAACGGCGCUCCUCCACCCGAGUAGACACCAGCGGUGUCCCCGAUCACUUUCUCGAUCUCCCCGGUGAGUCCACCGAAUUCCAGUUUUCUAGCGAGUCCACCCAAAACUUAAGACAAGAUCGAUCUCGCCGGAAAACUGGAAUUCGGCGGACUCGUCGGGGGGGGGGGGGAGAGAAAGUGAUUAGGGACGCCGCUGGUAUCUGCUCGGGUGGAGGCAUGUUGUUGUCGGCGCCAGACGGUGGAGAACAGAGGGACGUCCGCACUUUAAGGGCGUGCGGACGUCCGCCUCUGAUCCGGACUGUUAUAUAUAUAUAUAUAUAUCAAUGUUCUAAAAGGCGCUAGGCGUUAGGCGCUAGGCGGGCGGUAACCCACAGCCUAGAGCCUGGACAGCCUAGGUGAGGAUUAGGCGGGGACUAGGCGAUUUGCAUUUUUUAAGAUUUAUUAAUUAAAAAUAUAUAUUUUAUGCAAUUUAAUAUUUGAAAACGGUCAAAUAUAGAUAAAUUAUUCAACAUAAUCUAGUCAUACUCAUUUAUAAAAUAAAUUAUAACUAAAAUUUAGCAUAACUUCCUGUAAAAGUUAGCAACAACAGCAAUAAACAUAUACACUUAUAAUUUUAAACACACAAUUAACUCUUAUACUCUCAUACUCCCCACAAUAUAACAAUCCCACCACAAAAAGAAAACAAAAAUAGCCGUAGAGCUUAGCAGCCUAGGCGGGCAAGGCGGCAUCUAGGCGGGCUAGGCGGCAUUUAGGCGAGCUAGGCGGCCGCCUAAUCGCCCACAGUCUGGCACAAAGGCCUGGAAGAAAAGCGAGGCAGCUUGUUGCAGCCUAGAGCCUAGGUGGGGACUAGACGGUCCUAGGCGGGGCCUUUUAGAAGCUUGAUAUAUAUAUAUAGGGACAUCCGCAUGCCUCUGAUCAGGACUAUAUAUAUAUAUAUACAGAUUUUCUCAGGUGCGGAUGUCCGCAUUUAUGCUUACGGUGCGGAUUUCCACUUUACACUCACUUUUCUAGGGCUGGCAUUGGUACGGUACCGGCGUUUUUUUGCCAAAACCAACUACCGUACCAACUUGUUAUGGUGCAUGAAAUCAUCUACCAAUGCUGACCGGCAAAGUUGGUAUACCGAACUCUCGGUUUGGUAUGGUACGGUUGGGCCGGCUACCGACUUCAAAAUGGGCCACUUUUUAUAAAAAAAAUAAGACAUGGCCCAUUGGCCCAAAUCAUAUUUUCCUGCUUUGAAUUGAACUUGAACUGAUGCAGAUCAUGCAGCAUUAGCAGCAAUAUCAAGUUAUCAACUACCAAACAUUCAAACUAUCAAAUUAAUGAUCAACCAAAACUUACAAAUACCAUUAAGGCAUUAACCAACUGCUCAAGACCUCAAGUGCUCACUGCUCAACCACAAAAGCACAAACAUGAGACUAUGAGAGUGAGACAAUGAGAUUAUGAGACUGAGACCAUGAACUGAUGAAAGUAUGAGAACACAAAGUCACAAACACAGAAAACUGAGAAAAGCACAAAACCAAGUUAACCAAGUAACCAACUGCUCUACAGCCUCUAGGCCCUCUCUACUGCUCAAGUGAACUUUAUUACUAACCUUAGUAACCUAUAAGGCUAUAACUCAAUAAGUCACACAGCCACUAACAUAAACACAGAAAGUCAGAAACUGUCAAACUAUAAACUCAACCUGCUCUAAAGUCUAAACUCUAAAACUUAGUUGAAAAACAAACUUUGAAAACCUGCACAGUAACUUUAAAAACAAACUUUCCAAGUUUCCAAUUUCCAAGCCAACAUUGACAAUAACAAUUAACAAGUGAACAAACAAGUGAACAAACAACAAAACAAACAAGUGAACAAACUUUCCAAUUUCCAAGCCAACUGCCAAAGUGCCAAUAACAAUUAACAAGUGAACAAACAUUGAAACCAAAAAAACCUGUACAAGUGUAAAACUGCAGCAUAGUAACACAGUUCAAAAAGAAACUAAUUCCAAGUCAAGUAGUCAACUGCCAACACCCAACAACAAACACACAUUGAAAUACUGAAUAUCAGUAACCAAAACAGCUAAAUAUCAGUAACCAAAAUAGAAACCAAAAUAGAAAUAUCAGAAAUUGUUCAGAAAUAUUUCAGUAACCAAAACAUAAAUAUUGUUCAGAAAAUUGAACAACUAAAUAUCAGUAACCAAAUCAGAAAUAUUGUUCAGAAAAUUGAGAUCUCCCAAAUACUGAAUUAAACACUAAUGGCUGCUUCUACAUAUUGGUUUGGCCAGAACUCCUAGUAAUCUCUAUUAGAGUUGCUGCCUCCACUCCUUGGUUAUAACCAUUUUCUACAAAAGAAAAAAAAAUCAUAUAGUUGAAUAAAAUAAGAAAGAAUGAAUACCAUUAAAUUCAGUAAAUUCACAAAAUUCACAGUGUGUGAUUGUUUGUAGUCAAUUACUAACACCAUUACCUUUCUCAAGUUCCUCUAACUCAUAGUAAAAUUUGAGGUCUUCUUCAGUUGGAUCCUUGUAUAAGCUUGGUGUAUCAGCUCUUAGCCAAUCACUAGUGCACACCAGGGCCUCCACCAUUCUUGGUGUCAAUGAUGCUCUAAAAGGAUCGACAACUCUAUCACCUAAACUAAAAGCAUUUUCAGACACCACUGUUGAGCAAGGAAUAGAAAAUAUAUCCUUGGCCAGCUUUGAUAGAACUGGAUAGGUUGCCUCAUUGCCUUUCCACCAUUUGGCAAUUUCAAAACCCUUGGAUAAGAGGUUGACANNNNNNNNNNNNNNNNNNNNAAUGAUCAUAUCGGACGGUUCGAAUUUUGGUUUGUAAAUUUUAGUCAUCGGAAUCACACGUGUCUACUAUUUACCGUUAUUAUUCCGUAUGGGAGCCCUAUACGUCGGAAGGUAAAUGUCUCAAAAUAUUUAUAUGGGCAGUUGCGUCUCAUCUACGUGAGAGUUUUUUGUGUGGAAUGUUUGACCAAACCACGUAAUAUAGAGAGAGAUAUGAGCGUUUUCGUGUGAUAAGUGACGAUGGAUUAGGGUUACACGUUUCGAUCGAGUCCUUAACGUUGUCGGAUCCAGUUGAAUUUUUUACCAUAGACAUCUUUCGUCAUAAUGAUCAUAUCUGACGGUCGAAUUUUGGUUUGUGAAUUUUAGUCAUCGGAAUCACAACGUGUCUACUAAUGUUGUAUAACUUGUUUAGUAGGUUAUACAACUUUGUGAACCAACUCUAUAUAGGAAGCAAAAUUAUCAAAAAUCUCGUGAAAUAAGAUGUGUUCAGAAUGGUGAAAUACGGCUAUGGUUCAAAAAUCACGUAAAUCGGGUAAAGUCUCGGUGUCGAUAGUAGCGGUCAACCCUAUUUACCGUUAUUAUUCCCUAUGGGGAGCCCUAUCGUCGGAAGGUAAAUGUCUCAAAAUUUUUAUAUAGGCGGUUGCGUCUCAUCUUUAUAUUACCGAAGGUGGAUGGUAAGAAGUCUAUUUCGCCUGCCAGAUUUUCUUCUCGACCUAGCUCCGCCGUCAGGCCACCGGAGACCGCCACACUUGUCCCAAAAGCUUCACCGUCGUCUCUACUUCAUUGCUGGACAUGUGGUGCAUCGAGUGGUGCCGCCGUGAGAGAUAAAUCGAGCUCCAAAACUCCGCCGGUUCGGAUUCUGUGUGAGUUUGAUUAGUACUACAUUCCCCUAGAAUUUGGUAGCUCGAUUCGGUGUGUGUGAGGAGAAUCGAAGAUUUGAAGUUUUUAGGGUUUAAAAUUGGGGAUUUUUAUAUUUUGAUUCAAUUGACCUGUUUAGGCUUAGAAUUGAGCUUCGACUUCUUCUAGAAAGUUAUUCGAAAUGUUGAGAGGAAGAUUCUGUCAAAUUUUGGUGGUGAUUGGAGGUGGCUGAAAGUUUCUGCAGUUUUUUUUUUCAAAAACCAGCAACUUUAGCCGACGAUAUUUAAAGGUUUAGCCGACGAUAUUUAAAGGUUUAUUCGUUGGCUACAGUAAUUUUAAAUUUUUUUAUAAGGUUUAGCCGACGAAUUAUGGCAUAUUUCGUCGGCUAUAGUUAUUUUUAAAAUUUUUUUAUAAGGUUUAGCCGACGAAACAGACUAUAUUUCGUCGGCUAUAGUUAUUUUUUAAAAUUUUUUAUAAGGUUUAGCCGACGAAACAGACUAUAUUUCGUCGGCUAUAGUUAUUUUUUAAAAUUUUUAUAAGGUUUACGCCGAACGAAACAAUUAUAUUUCGUCGGCUUAUAGUUAUUUUUUUAAUUUUUAUAAGGUUUAGCCGACGAAACNUACUAUAUUUCGUCGGCUAUAGUCUGGUAAAUUUUUUUAUUAACAGACUUUAGCCGUACGAAUAUACUUAAUUGUUUCGUCGGCUAAAGUCUUGGGAAAAAAACCGACGACAUGUUUUUUCGUCGGCUAAACUGCGGGACUAUAGCCGACGAAAUUUUUUUUUUUCGUCGGUUAAAGUCAUCACAGACGACUUUUUUCUCGACGUAAAAUCUUAGUCGACGAUGGCUCGUCGGCUAAGAUCUUAGCCGACGAAUUAAGCUAACAGGCUUUUCGUCGGCUAAAGUGCUUGUCCUGGUAGUGUAUAUUCUCGAUCUUAUUUCUUUUAUUCUUGAAGAAGAGGGUAUUGAAGGAAAUUUAAGGAGAAAUAUAAACAAUUUUUUUUUGGAGGUGUGUAUCUAGUAAAUAGAUAUGUGUUAAUAAAAUUUCUCGAUAAAUAAUUACUGCAAAUUGAAAAAAAGUUAUUGUUAAUUUGUACAUCAUUUGUUGCAGGUUGUGGUAAAAUCUGUAGCCACUGUAGUAACUUUUUUCUUUUUCACCGGAAUGAAAUUUUUUUCUUUUUCCAUUUGAGCCUCAUGUCGAAAGAAAAAAAUGGGGCAAUGUUGGGGUAAAUAUUUUUUACGGGAUUAGAAAAAAGGCUCAUUAAAUAAAGGACAUCAUGAAGAGGAGGGGAGUCUUUUAUGCAAGUGUUGACUAAAAUGUGAUCUAUUUACUUAUUAAAAUUUCAAUAUCGACCAACUUUUAUUAUUUGAUUUUCAUAAUUAAUAUUUUUUAUUUUUUUGGCUAGAAGAAUUAAUUCAUAUUUGGAUAAAGAAAUGAACAAAAUAAAAUGACAAAAAUGUAGCAAGUUGACUAAUUUUGAAAACAUAAGGUAGCAAAUUGGCAGAAAUAAUAGCUAGGGUAGCAAAUUGGUUAAUUAUGAAAAGUUAGGGUAACAAAUUGGCUGAAAUGAAAAGUAAGGUAGUAAAUUGAUACUAAGGUAAAAUGUAGGGUAACAAUUUGACUAAAAAGCCUUGAAAUAAAUCAUGUUGUGUGUGAAUUAUGUCUUAGUUAAAGUAAAUCAUUUUGCGGUUGAAAUAUAUCUUCAUUAGAGCGAACCAUGUUAUGAGUGGAUUAUGUCCUUGUCAAGAAAAAGUCAUGUUAUGCAUGAUAUAUGUUCUCAUCGAAAAAAAUCAUGUUACGGUCGAAUUAGGUUCCUGUUAAGAUGAAUUUUGUGACAGUCAAACUGGGUCACAGUCACGGUACAAUAUUGAAUAUUCCCCUCAGUAUAAUAAGUAAAGGUAGAAGUAUGUGGUUCUAUUCACGCAUGGAUUGGGUUAUGGAGUUAUCGUUAGAACAAGUUGUAAUUGAAGUAAAGUAGAAGUAAUCUACGAGAGGAAACUGAAGACGCUUUCCCACGAUGUCCAGAUUGUGGUAUUGAGGAUCCAUCGCGCGUGACUUGCGGAUGAAACCAACCACGCGCAUUAGUCAAGAUCAUCGCUGGGGUGCGACUAUAAAUAUUACAACUGCAAAUCAAGCCAUAGCAUGUAGAAAAAGUACUCUCCGAGUGCAUCCAUCCCCUUUUCCAUUAGAUUUUUCUUUCAUCAAGCACGUAACCCGAGCCCAAAACCAAAAACACUUGUCUAAUUCCAUCCUCAAGGAAAAAGCUUUUAUUCUCGCUCUAGUUACAAGAAAUAGGUGAGGAAAUUCCACGAUUAUUUUCCCGUGGAAAUUGCUAAUUCCACAGGAUAAGAAUUUCCACGGGAAAAUAAUCCAAACGGGGAAACAGUUUUAAAAAAUUGAAAAUUCUUUAUUUUUAAUUAAAUUUCCGAGAAUUCACUCGCAUCCAAACACACUGUAGAGGGUGUGAUAUUUCGUGUAAGUACUAUACAGAAGGUAUCCAAAAUUGAAAUUAGAUGCUUUUAUUUUGUGAAUUGGAAAUGUAUCAUUUCUUCAUGCCAAUAUGAAUUAUUUAUGCCUCAUAAAAACAAAAACACAUACGAGCCAACAUAGUACUGCCCUUUGGUCCUGACAUGCCAACCCCAUCUUAGUGGUUUCGAACUCGGCAAUUACGGCGGAUCUCUCCCUGCUUACCUGUCAGAACCUUAAUAGAGCCCAUUCUGCUCAUUGAGUAUGCAUAUGACCUCCGAAAAUCUUCUAAACCAGCAUCAAACUCAUCGGUGAUAUCCUUUGUGUCUUCACCUAACAAUAGCUGCUGAUCGAUUCCCAGCACAGAUUUCUUGGAUAGAACUCUGGAGUAGUAGGAGUUUGUGAAACUGUAACUGGGCCCAGAUUGGGGGUUUAGGUACACCAGCGGGUCACUCUGUCCCUUUUUUGUUCUUGGUGGACAUAGCUUCCUCAUGGAGGAUAAGAAUGAGGGACCCAUGUUUGGGUCUGGCUUGUUUGUGCCAUUAAAAUUGUAGAGCCGAUCCAAAAUGAAACGACAAUGUGUUUUACCCAUUGAAUGUGAACCUGAACGUAAAACAUAUAUCAGUUUAAAUUUGUUAUAAUGCCAUCAUAGUCAUCUUUCCAAUUAUAAGAACAAGAAAUGACUGAUUAUUUUGGCUAAUAGUAAGAACAUGGAAUGAUUAAAAAGAAAGGUACGUUGCGGUUUACUUAUUGGGUGCAUGAAGCAUUAGUUUUGCUCACCUAGUAGGGUAGUCAUAUCCAACACAUUCAAGCCUCUGGAUUUGAAGUAGUCAAGUGAAGCCUGCCAUGAAAUGGAGGGUGAGGGAAGGUCGACUGAUGAUCUGCUUGAUUUUAGCCCGUCCCUUCGGCCUGUAAGAACAGGAUAAGAUGGUGCACCUGCCUGUAGAUAGGAUAUAUGGAUUGAUUAUAUAUAUUAUGUUGAGCGCAAUUCCCAGAAACAUAUAUAUUAAUUGUAAAUUUCAUGCGAAGUUAAAAAUGAUUAGCUAGUAAGAGCUGGAGUACCAAAUGAACAGCAUCCCUGGUGGCGAGGUUGAGAAGGUCAGCACACGAGACGGCACCGGGGCAGCGUUGUUCAAGAACCCGUUUGAUCCUGUCAAUGAAAACGAAACCUCCCAAUCCCAAAUUCUGUGGUGCAGUUUUCUCAGAGUUUGGACCAUCCAGCAGCACUGAUGCAUCACAACCCUGCAUUUAUAUUUAACCUCAUUAAUUGACUACAAAUUCCAAUCCUCUUAUUGUUUAUAUGAUUAUCUUGUACCUGUAUAAACUAAUCGAUUAAUUACAAGCAAGUGAUAUACUGUAUUUCUUUAUGCUCAGAGAAAAUAUAUGGGAGAAACGAUGUGUCGUUAUAAACUUAAGUAUUCACUCAUGCGUAAGUACGUAGUUGAGUACUACAGUCCACAGCUUGGCCAAGCAGACUACUACGGUUAUGAUGGGAUGUCGAAUAUAUAUGAACAUAUAAGUAGAUCAAAAGAUGGAGAAAAGAACCAAAGAGCGCUGAUGGUUUACGUACAGUUACGAAGCAAUCGGAGUAGAGUAACCGGAGAAGCUUAGGGGUGAUGCUUUUAUCUUGGUGCCAAAGCAACUCGACUUGGUGGCGAAUGUAAAGUUCUGCGUCGCGGCAUGUGUUAGUGACUUUGUAGAAAUGCCACAUCAACUGAUUUUGCUUUGGUGGUGGUGGUGGUGCUUUUGGCGUCGCCGACGAGCACACAGACACUAGAAGUGGAAGGACCACAAGAAACACAAAUAUUCUCUGGUUUCUUGUCAUUGUCUUCUCCUCCCUCAAAAAACCUAGCCAGUUGCUCUGUGUGUACUGCUAUCACUGCUAUGUAUCUAACAUGCACAAACAAGUAUAUACAACCCUUAUGAGAUAGCUUGUGUGUAUAUAUAAGCAGAAACCGACCAAUGCUCGAUCCUAGCUUGUAUUGUUAACUAAGGCUGGCAAAGCAAGGCACCGUGUGUGACGGCCGGAAGAGUUGGGGGAGGCACAUGGCCAGUGGAAUUUGCCUUCAUUAUACUCUACCCCAUCGAUUCUCUCUACCAUUCUCAACUGGUGUGUUGUGCCCUAACCCAAAUUCGAACUUAAAUUAAUCGUAGUCAGCAAGGAAUUGGCAAAGUCUGCAUGGGAUUGUGAGCUGAGCAGCUGGCCUUCCUUCCUGGCCUUUAUUGGGGCAUACAUUUUUAGACUUGCUAUGGCAUAUUUUGUGAUCCCGUCAAGCUUUACACGCCCCAAGUACAUUAUAAAUUGCAAGGGACACGCCGCCCCACGCUUUACAUGCCCAACCCAGAAAUUGUUUUCUGUUUUCAAUCUGGCCUAGUGGCCUUGAAUUUAGAGUGAAGUGAAGUACUGAAAAGAGAAUAUAAUAUAUUCUUGUUUUAAAGAGAGACUGGACUGCUCACAGGAAGAAAAUCACCUGUACCGAAAAACUCAUGUGCCAAACCUGUGCCACCAACAAGAAUUUAACACAUGUCUAUCGACUUGACAGAAGUUUACACCGUUAAGUCAUUUGUUUUCCAACUAUUUUCUUAUUGAUUAUUAAUGUUUCAUCCAACUGUUCCUCUACCAUGUUCAUCGUCUAAUGCAGAUUCUUCUUCUCAUCAUUUCUACCUUCUUCCCCUGCAACUCUGUCAUGACCUAAAUUCCAAUAGAUAACAUCAUAAUAUUAUAUUUGUUGCCUUACCCACAGUUCUAUUUCCCAAUUUUCUCUCUUGUUUUUCCAAUUUGAGCUUCAAUAUGUAUAAUCGUUUGCCUUAUUCUCAAUCUCUAAGAACCCAUCUUGUUUUCUUUUCUGGAGAAGCAAAUUGAGGUAGACCUUUUAAGGGGAUUCAGUGAAGAUCAAUUUGGAUUUAUUUUCAAAUUUAACAAGAUUGAUUGAUAUUCCUGAUGAUGUUUCUAGUUUUCUUUUCCUUUCUCUUACUGGGUUUGUUAUUACUUGCUGAUUUUUAUCGCUGAAAAUAGGUUAAUAUCUACACCUCUGCAAGACUGCAACAAACCCAGCAGCACCCUGAUAAGAAUUUCUCUAUUGGGUCUCCUACACCCUGAGGACAACUUCCAACAUUUAAUUUGGUUUUGUAUGAUUUCAAUGCAAAACUUGCUGCGGAUUUCAAUCCCAAUUUUUGUUCGUCUCUUUUGGCCUCAUCGGAGGACGGAGGAGGAAGUUGAUUUAAGUGGGAGAAAUUUUUUUUGUUCGAUAAAGAAGCCGGUUCUGGGAUUGAUUCAUGAGAAAUAAGGAGAAAAAGAGAAAAAUAUUUUUUUUAAAUUAAAAAUAAGAUUAGAGUUAGGUCCGAGGUUGGUUAGGGCUGCGCGGGGCCGACGGCGAUGAAUGGAUCUUGGAUUCCGGCGAGCUAGGUCCGGUUCUUUUGAUCGGACAUGUUGUUUGCAGGUUUGAAGAGUGAGAUUAGUCUCUGAUCGGAUUCUCGUAGUUUUGACGAGACGCGAUGAUCGGUGGCGGUCGGCUGGUGUGUGUCGUUGAUGGACGGCGCCGGCGGUAUAUGCUGUUGGUCUGGCUUCGGGUGGUGGCGGUGGGGCGAGGGUGAGGCAGAGCUUUGGGCCGGGGAGUUGGGCUUAGCCCAUAUGUUCAGUUUCUUUGGGUUUGGGCUCUUGUUUGGCAAAAGUUGGGCUAGGGUUUGUUUUGGGCCCUGGCUUGAUUUCUGUUUAUUUUGUUUUAUUUACUGUUUAGUCUAGGACUGCUUGCGGGUCUAGAGCAUUUUCUUAGUUAUUGGCUUCGGUAUGUAAUUAGGUUUUUUUUGUUGCUCUAGGGUAGCCUCCCAUGUGUAUGGUGGGUCUCGGAAGUGGUCAAUAAUGAUAGGUUGAGGACUUGUCUCUUCCUCCUUGUUUCUCGGUGGCUGGUUACUUUUCUCGUUUGUUACCACGGAAGAUUGAUCAUAGCGCUUCAUCUCAUGGUCUUCAGCAUAGAAACUGUUUGGUGUCUAUUAGGUAGGUUUACUAAAUAGGUUUGCAUGAUUGCCCCCGCAGGCGGAUCUUGUUCAUGUUAUUGUACUUACUCUGAAGUUGUGAUCAAUGAAAUAUUAGCGUCCUUGGAUAAAAAAAAAAGAAAAAGUUGUAUAAGAAUAAGAAAUUUUAUUUACACAUUGUUACAUACUACAUACACAUCAUCUACUUAAUACACCACUUAAUAACUUUUGUACUUUAAUAUUUUACUAUAUAACAUAUACACCACCCAAUUUCUCGUGUGCCAAUUAUGUGUCACAAAUAAAUUUGUGACACGUGGGAUUCCAAUCACAACACCUAAAACAAGUUUAACACCGUUAAGUUUUAUUAAAUUUAGCUUUUUUACUAAAAAAAACAAAACUCAGCCUUUUCUUCCUCCUCUAGUACAACCCUUUCAUCUUUCCCUCUACUUCUGCUUAACUUCAUCGUCUCUUAAACUUCAAAAUUGCGUUUCAAAAACUUCAUUGGUAUGAAUUGAAGGAGAGUUUUUGCACAUAGAAUAUAUGGUGAUGAUGCGGGCGUUGAGGACUAAGUCGUGGUUGGGUGGAUUCGGAAACGAUGCAGUGGUGGUUUCGAUGUUGCUGUGGCGGCGGCAGGCCAAGAGAAGGGCGUCGAUGGUGUCUUUGAGGUGCUGGGAGGUGGGUGAGGCAUUUGCUCGGAGGAGGGUGAGGGCGGCGGGGAGGUUGCUGGAGUUGAAGAGGCGGUUGAAUCUUGAAGUGGGUUGGGUUUUGGUGGAGAGAGAGAGAGAGAGGUGGUCUAGGUGGGAGGGAGAGAAAAUGAAGCUUAUGGACUGAAAAUGGAGUGUGUUUGGGAAGAAGGAGAUGAUGAUUAGGGCUGGCAUUGGUACGGUACCGGCGUUUUUUUGCCAAAACCAACUACCGUACCAACUUGUUACGGUACAUGAAAUCAUUUACCACUACCGACCGGCAAAGUUGGUAUACCGAGAGUUCGGUAUACCGAACUCUCGGUUUGGUAUGGUACGGUUGGGCCGGCUACCGACUUCAAAAUGGGCCACUUUUUAUAAAAAAAAAAUAAGACAUGGCCCAUUGGCCCAAAUCAUAUUUUCUUGCUUUGAACUGAACUUGAACUGAUGCAGAUCAUGCAACAUUAGCAGCAAUAUCAAGUUAUCAACUACCAAACAUUCAAACUAUCAAAUUAAUGAUCAACCAAAACUUACAAAUACCAUUAAGACAUUAACCAACUGCUUAAGACCUCAAGUGCUCACUGCUCAACCACAAAAGCACAAACAUGAGACUAUGAGAGUGAGACAAUGAGAUUAUGAGACUGAGACCAUGAACUGAUGAAAGUAUGAGAACACAAAGUCACAAAACACAGAAAACAGAGAAAAGUACAAAACCAAGUUAACCAAGUAACCAACUGCUCUAUAGCCUCUAGGCCCUCUCUACUGCUCAAGUGAACUUUAUUACUAACCUUAGUAACCUAUAAGGCUAUAACUCAAUAAGUUACACAGCCAUAAACACAAACACAGAAAGUCAAAAACUGUCAAACUAUAAACUCAGCCUGCUCUAAAGUCUAAACUCUAAAACUCAGUUGAAAAACAAACUUUAAAAACCUGCACAGUAACUUUAAAAACAAACUUUCCAAGUUUCCAAUUUCCAAGCCAACAUUGACAAUAACAAUUAACAAGUGAACAAACAAGAGAACAAACAACAAAACAAACAAGUGAACAAACUUUGCAAUUUCCAAGCCAACUGCCAAUAACAAUUAACAAGUGAACAAACAUUGAAACCAAAAAAACCUGUACAAGUGUAAAACUGCAGCAUAGUAACACAGUUCAAAAAGAAACUAAUUCCAAGUCAAGUAGUCAACUGCCAACACCCAACAACAAACACACAUUGAAAUACUGAAUAUCAGUAACCAAAACAGCUAAAUAUCAGUAACCAAAACAGAAAAUAAAACAGAAAUAUCAGAAAUUGUUCAGAAAUAUUUAAGUAACCAAAACAUAAAUAUUUUUCAGAAAAUUGAACAACUAAAUAUCAGUAACCAAAUCAGAAAUAUUGUUCAGAAAAUUGAGAUCUCCCAAAUACUGAAUUAAACACUGAUGGCGGCUUCUACAUAUUGGUUUGGCCAGAACUCCCAGUAAUCUCUAUUGGAGUUGCUGCCUCCACUCCUUGGUUAUAACCAUUUUCUGCAAAAGAGAAAAAAAAUCAUAUAGUUGAAUAAAAUAAGAAAGAAUGAAUACCAUUAAAUUCAGUAAAUUCACAGUGUUUGACUGUUUGUAGUCAAUUACUAACACCAUUACCUUUCUCAAGUUCCUCUAACUCAUAGUAAAAUUUAAGGUCUUCUUCAGUUGGAUCCUUGUAUAAGCUUGGUGUAUCAGCUCUUAGCCAAUCACUAGUGCACACCAGGGCCUCCACCAUUCUUGGUGUCAAUGAUGCUCUAAAAGGAUCGACAACUCUAUCACCUAAACUAAAAGCAUUUUCAGAUGCCACUGUUGAAUAAGGAAUAGCAAAUAUAUCCUUCGCCAGCUUUGAUAGAACUGGAUAGGUUGCCUCAUUGCCUUUCCACCAUUUGGCAAUUUCAAAACCCUUGGACAAGAGGCUGACAUAUCUAUCGGAUAAGUACUGGUCAACUUCAUUUCUUAUGCAUAAAGAUUGCUCAGCCACCCUCUCCCUUGCUAUCUCCCUGCUAACUUCAUCGAGGCCAUCCAUUUCAUCAAAUUCCAUUUAAGCCAUAUCACUUCCAGAAGUAUGCUCAGUCAAAUCAGUAAUGUCUUCACCUUUAUAUUCUUCAUACAUCUUCAUCAAGAUUCUCUUCAACUCACUUUCAAUGGUUUCAACUACAUGUGCACUUGCUUUCACCUUUUUCAUUGCCACUUUAGCCCACUGCAACUUGCAUCUUGGGUCUAAAACAUUAGCUAUCAUGACCAUGUUGUUCAGCACCUCAAAGCUGCCCCAAUACUUGUCAAACUUAGCCUUCAUAGAUUCAGCAACCCUCUUCAAAACCUCAUCAGUGGAGUCACAAGCCUUGUCAAUCUCAGUCUGCAAUGUAAUCAUCUCCACAAAUAAUAUGUUUGCAGUCACUGAUUUCCAUGCACUCAGCCUCACAGUAGCUGCAUAAAAUUUCUCCAAAAACAAACAGAAAGCUUCAGCAUUCCUCCAAGCUUCAAAAUCUGGUGGUCCAACCUUGUCCUGAAAAUAGCUUCUAAAUGAAGGAUCUUCUUCUGCCAUCCUCCCAAAAACAGCUUCAUACUUCAAAGCAGCUUGCAACAUAAGAAAUGUGCUGUUCCAUCUUGUUAUAACAUCUAAUGGAACAUUUGCAUUAGCCCUGCAUUGCUCCAAAACAGCAAACUCCCUAAACUUGUCAAGCCUAGCAGAUAAACUCCUAACAUACUUUGCACAAUUCCAUAUAGCUGCAAUCCCAUUCUCCAACUCCUUCAAACCAUCUUUAACUAUUAAGUUAAUAAUAUGGCAAGCACAUCUUAAAUACAAAUAGGCCCCAUCAAACAUCAAAGUUUUGUAGCCCUUCAACCUUCUCUUCAUGUAUUACACUGCGACAUCAUUAGCAGAAGCAUUGUCGACAGUGAUGGUGAACACUUUUGAGAUCUCCCACUGCCUCAAACAUUGCUCCAUAACUCUACCAAUGUCCUCACCUUUGUGACUGACAAUUGGACAAAAGUUUAUGAUUCUUUUGUGCAAUUUCCAGUCAACAUCCAUAAAAUGAGCUGUAAGAACCAUGUAGUUAAUGUUUUGUAUCGAUGUCCAUGUGUCUGUGGUGAUCGAAAUCCUAGUGUCUAUAGCCUUAAAAAAAACUCAACAAAACAGCCUUCUCAUGAUUAAACUUCUCUAACACACCCUUGGCAACCUGCUUUCUAGUCAUUAUUGGCCACUCCGGUUGUAAUUCCUUAACAAACGCCUUAAAACCCUCCUUCUCCACAUGCCUAAAGGGUAGUUCAUCCCUAAUUAUCAUCUCAAUACACUUAUCAUCACACCGUUGUCUGUUAUACUUAUGAGGUUUUCCUCCAGACACAUUAUCUAUGUUCAGUUUGGACUGUUUUUGAUCAGUUUCACCAGGUUUGGUACGCAUAGGGUGUAACUCACAUUUCCUCACAUGAGCCAACAUUGAACUUGUCACAUUUCUCUUAACUGAACACAACACUUCCUGACCACAAAUGUUGCAGGUGCACCACUCCGAAUCUAUUUCAUCCGAGUUUGGGAUCUUACAUCUAGUAAAGAACGGUCAAAGAGGACUUUUGUUAGCUGGUUCUUUUCUUUUCUUCCCAAAGGAAGGUUGUGAGCUGGUUUCAGGACCAUAUUCAAGUGGAGGUGUAGGUUCAGAUCCAAGGGCAGAGGCAGGGUGUGGAGGUUCAGGGGGAGGUCCUAAUGGGGAUAUGUUUCUAUGUAAGGAUGCAGUUUCCUCUAUAUUUGCAGUAGAUUGAAUAGAUGGAGAUGAGCUACUGGUCUGACUGCUAUGAAUUUGAGACAUUGCUGUAUCCGCUAUGAAAAUUGAAAAACAAAAACCAAUAAAUCCUAACUUAAUAUAAAUUGAGCCAAAACAGCAAUUAACAGCAAAAUAACAAGCUGCACUAACAUAUUGUUAAGUAUUUUCUCUGUUCUUAUUAUUGACUAUUGAAUCAAAACAGCAAUUAACAACAAAAUAACAAGCUGCACUAACCUAUUGUUCAUAACUUAAUAUAAAUUGAGCCAAAACAGCAAUUAACAGCAAAAUAACAAGCUGCCCUAACCUAUUGUAUACAGGUUCUACCAUGUCUAUAACCCCUAUAGUCUCAAACUAAGUACAUUACUGUAACAUCAAAUAAUGGAUCACAUGUGUAAUACCCUGACCAAUUUGAGAAACUAAUAAUGAGACCACGUCAUAUCACAUUAUUGUGAUAUUCCAACAAUAUAAAUGCGAGUCCUGAAUAUAGUGAAGCUGAAUUAAGGUUGAUAUAUUUUGCUUGUUUACUUGUUGUUCUUGAUGAUUAAUAAAUAAAUAAAUAGAGUAAAUAAAAAAAUAACAAUAAUAAUAAUGAUAGUAAUAAAAGAAAUAAGAAGAAAGGAGAAGAAGUGUGUGGAAGGAUCGGGAAAAAAUAAAAAAGAGAAGAGCACAGAUCUUUGGGCCGUAUCUCUUCACCACCGACCUUCUGGGUUUUUCUCGUGAAGAGAAGAAGAAGAGUGUUAGGAUUAUAUCUAGCUAAUUGUUGUAAUUAGUAGUAAGCUGGUCAUUAGCUGAUAAUUAAUCAUCAGGGUUAGUUCAUAAUGGUCAAUGGAUAAGGGUCACGUGGCUUCAUUCUGUUUAGUCCCUUAAUCCUAUUUAGUCUGUACCUCACAUUUUUUCAUCAAUUAAUCAGAGCCAUAGUUUUUUAUUUUCCUUAGCUUUACUUCUUCUUCCUCAAGCUUUCAAAGAGGACUUUUACGGCAAACAAAAGGUGAUCAUAUCUAGAUGAUCUUGUCAAGGGUCUGGAGGGAAAAACAUAUCUAGAUGAUCUUGUCAAGGGUCUGGAGGGAAUGGUCAGGUAUGCUCACAAUAGAUGAUUUUGAUGAUUUUCCUAAAUCUCUGUUACUGAUUACAACUGAGGCUCAGGUAUUGAAUUAAUGAAUGGUGUGAGUAAAAAUUUUGUUCUCUAUGGAAACUAUGGCAACGGUACACAUUGUAUAAUCUCUCUAGUAGCAUACGAAUUUGAUUUUUAAGUCAGUUCAACUCUCUAAUUCCACCCUAAAUUCAGGAUAAUCUGGGUGAGGGGUGUUACAACAGGUCAUACCAAACAUGAUAUCAAAUCUCAGCAACUAAUCCAUCCUAUACCUUUUUCUUCUCAAAACAACUAAAACUCAUCUAACAGACUAACACACCAACGCAACACUUCCUCUGCAGUUCACUUCAUACAUCUCAAAACAACAAUCAACAACAAUCGAGCUACCUAAUCACAUAUAUCAUCAUAGUCUCAUAGAGAAGAAGAGAUUAAGAGAGAGUGAAGAGUCGAACCUACUGCAGCUUGCCUCCCUAAUGCGCUCCCUGUCAUCCUAACCCUCUGCCGACCCAUCUUCGAGACUUCAAUAACCAGUCAAGAACCCAGAAAGUCAGAAACGCAGAAAGUCAGAAAGGCAGAAAGAUAAGUUAGAGAGAAAGAGAAGUACCUGUGAUUUUGAGACUUGAGAGGCUGAGUCGCCCCCUUGAUCAAGAGUCCAGAGACUGAGAGAGAGUCGAGAAUUUGAGAAUUGAGAAUUUCAGAUUGAGAGAGAGAGAGAGAGAGUCGAAUUAGGUUUGCGAAAUGGGAGAAUUCCGGAGAAAUGCCGAAUUGGGGAUGAACCAUUGAACCUCGUCUCUUCCUUCUAAUUUCAACGGCUACGAUUGUAAAUGGAUGGAAUCAACGGCUUAGAUUACAUGGAAAUUAAUUAUGUUAAAAAGUCGGUACGGUACGGUAAUACCGUAUUUAUACAAAACUCAGUACCGCUACCGUACCAUACGUUGAUGGCGGUACGGUAGUACCAUGCCGAAAAGUCGGUAACCGAUUCCGACGGUUCGGGACGGUACGUCGGUUGGCUCGGUAUUUUGCGUGCCAAUGCCAGCCCUAAUGAUGAUGAUGAUAUGAGAAUGGGUUUGUUUGAUUAGGUUUUUUUUUUUUUUUUUUUNNNNNNNNNNNNNNNNNNNNNNNNNNNNNNNNNNNNNNNNNNNNNNNNNNNNNNNNNNNNNNNNNNNNNNNNNNNNNNNNNNNNNNNNNNNNNNNNNNNNNNNNNNNNNNNNNNNNNNNNNNNNNNNNNNNNNNNNNNNNNNNNNNNNNNNNNNNNNNNNNNNNNNNNNNNNNNNNNNNNNNNNNNNNNNNNNNNNNNNNNNNNNNNNNNNNNNNNNNNNNNNNNNNNNNNNNNNNNNNNNNNNNNNNNNNNNNNNNNNNNNNNNNNNNNNNNNNNNNNNNNNNNNNNNNNNNNNNNNNNNNNNNNNNNNNNNNNNNNNNNNNNNNNNNNNNNNNNNNNNNNNNNNNNNNNNNNNNNNNNNNNNNNNNNNNNNNNNNNNNNNNNNNNNNNNNNNNNNNNNNNNNNNNNNNNNNNNNNNNNNNNNNNNNNNNNNNNNNNNNNNNNNNNNNNNNNNNNNNNNNNNNNNNNNNNNNNNNNNNNNNNNNNNNNNNNNNNNNNNNNNNNNNNNNNNNNNNNNNNNNNNNNNNNNNNNNNNNNNNNNNNNNNNNNNNNNNNNNNNNNNNNNNNNNNNNNNNNNNNNNNNNNNNNNNNNNNNNNNNNNNNNNNNNNNNNNNNNNNNNNNNNNNNNNNNNNNNNNNNNNNNNNNNNNNNNNNNNNNNNNNNNNNNNNNNNNNNNNNNNNNNNNNNNNNNNNNNNNNNNNNNNNNNNNNNNNNNNNNNNNNNNNNNNNNNNNNNNNNNNNNNNNNNNNNNNNNNNNNNNNNNNNNNNNNNNNNNNNNNNNNNNNNNNNNNNNNNNNNNNNNNNNNNNNNNNNNNNNNNNNNNNNNNNNNNNNNNNNNNNNNNNNNNNNNNNNNNNNNNNNNNNNNNNNNNNNNNNNNNNNNNNNNNNNNNNNNNNNNNNNNNNNNNNNNNNNNNNNNNNNNNNNNNNNNNNNNNNNNNNNNNNNNNNNNNNNNNNNNNNNNNNNNNNNNNNNNNNNNGUAUUUAACUAAUUUGAAAGUUAUUAAAUUAUUUUUAACUUUUUUUAUAAAAAAAAAUACUGAAAUUUUUAAAAAAAAAUUAAUACAUAUUCAUUAAUACACAUCCUAAUUUCAUAUAGCUUCUCACAUAUCAGGUAUAAAAACCUGACGAGAUAAUUUUCUUCCCUCAGUCAUGUUGAAAACUCAUUUGGCUACACCCUUUGCUCAAAGAGUCAAUGGACCUGCUCCUAUGGAUGGAGUAAUAGGGCUUAUGUUUAUGUAGUACUUCCCAUGCUUUUCGUUGGGCAAAAACCCAACUACACAUCUCAAUAUAUAGUUAUUCAGUGCUUGUAUUUGGAGGUAAGAAGAACUUGUUGUUAUAGAGGUGUUAUGUUUCCAUACCUUCCAUAUAUGGCUGUAAAAGAAGACUAAUUGGUUUUGAGGGCGAAUCCUUUCAAGAUGAUGUCGAGAUUAACACUCAAUUAAAUGUUUUUUUGUUUUUUGUUUAGAAAGAUACUCAAUUGAAGGCUGAGAAACACUAACAUAGGAAAUCAUCUUGUUAUUGCUGAUUUUGUUUUGAACAAUGAAUGUUCAUUGACGAAUAUUCAAUUAAAGAGGAGAAGAAGUAUCAAAAAAAAAAAUUAAAGAGGAGAAGAAAAUGUCAAAAAGUGAGAAAUAUCUCUUUAGAAAUAUGACGAUACUGUUGUAGAUUGAUCUCUAUUAAAUUAACCCGGAUUACUUACAAUACACCUUAUAUACACUACAAUAACAAUAGUAGAUAGUAUGGUAGAAAGAAAUAUCUGAAUCUUUCUACCAUACUAUCGUAUUUCAUGUGCACCCCACAUGGAUAGAAGUAGAUAAACGGGAAUUAAUUCUAACUCCCACAUGAUGAAAAAAAGUAAAAGGUCUUGAAAAGAAAAUGGUCCUAUUUGACCGCUAUACAUUGCUAACAUUAGGAAAUGGAAUAGUCGGGAAUCUCGAGUAACGGGCCAAGCCGCUAAAGUAGCUAAAGUUGUAAUAAAUCCUGUCAGUAAAAUGGGUCCUAUAGAAAUUCCAUCUAUUCCCAAUCUCCAGUAAAAAUCAAAAAAAUUGAUCUAUUUAUAAUUCUCCGUUAGUGGCAUUAACGGAUCAUCCAAUUGGAAACGAUAACUGAAUGCAUAGGUUGUUAGAAGGAGUUCUAUUAUGCAUAUACAUAAAGUAUACCACCGUAUUACCUUAUUUCCUCGAUGAGGAAGAAAGAAAAUUAAGGAACCCGCGGAUAUUGGCAAAACUACAACUAGCGUUAACCAAGGAAAAUUAUUCAUAGUAAAAACAAAAUAAACUUGGACCAGAAAAACCCGUGCUCGAAAUAAAUAUAUUUUGAGCGUCGGGUUUUUGUCGAUAAAAGGUAAAAAAAUCAAAUGUAUUCGAGUAGGGUUUUCUGGAACGUAUUAAUAAGCUAGACCCAUACUGCGAGUUGUUUCAUGCCAUAAAUAAACGCGAACACUCAAGAAAUCCGUUGGACAGGCGGAUUCACAUCUCUUACAACCGACACAGUCCUCUGUUCUUGGAGCAGAAGCGAUUUGCUUAGCUUUACAUCCGUCCCAAGGUAUCAUUUCUAAUACAUCGGUUGGGCAAGCUCGCACACAUUGAGUACACCCUAUACACGUAUCAUAAAUCUUUACUGAAUGUGACAUUGGAUCUAUAAAUUUUUAAACGUCAGAAAAUUUCUAUCUAGUAAACUUGUAAAUGAAUCAUAUAUUUAGACACCNN